CCCCUCCGCCAGAUCCGGUGGGAGGGGAGGCGGCGGCGCCUCCCCUCCCACCAGAUCUAGCGGAGGGG
rnacentral:pre_miRNA from 1 species